ACGGGUGAGUAACACGUGGGAACGUACCCUUCGGUUCGGAAUAACGCUGGGAAACUAGCGCUAAUACCGGAUACGCCCUUAUGGGGAAAGGUUUACUGCCGAAGGAUCGGCCCGCGUCUGAUUAGCUAGUUGGUGGGGUAAUGGCCUACCAGGGCGACGAUCAGUAGCUGGUCUGAGAGGAUGAUCAGCCACACUGGGACUGAGACACGGCCCAGACUCCUACGGGAGGCAGCAGUGGGGAAUAUUGGACAAUGGGCGCAAGCCUGAUCCAGCCAUGCCGCGUGAGUGAUGAAGGCCUUAGGGUUGUAAAGCUCUUUUGUCCGGGACGAUAAUGACGGUACCGGAAGAAUAAGCCCCGGCUAACUUCGUGCCAGCAGCCGCGGUAAUACGAAGGGGGCUAGCGUUGCUCGGAAUCACUGGGCGUAAAGGGCGCGUAGGCGGCCAUUCAAGUCGGGGGUGAAAGCCUGUGGCUCAACCACAGAAUUGCCUUCGAUACUGUUUGGCUUGAGUAUGGCAGAGGUUAGUGGAACUGCGAGUGUAGAGGUGAAAUUCGUAGA
rnacentral:rRNA from 1 species